GCUACAUAAUUUGGAUGAUCAGACAUGCCAUUUCUUUUCCAUGGCCAUUUCAAAAUGAAAAAGUGUUCUUUAGUUCUCUUGUCGCUGAUUGUUGUUUGAUGCAUAUCAUUCUCAUGUUGUGGAGGACUGCGAAGCACACAUGCGGUCAGCUGGAGCACUGCAAAGUUGUAUCAUUUCUCUACUCUUGUCUUGAUAUGUUGAAACAAUUUGUUAGGAGGUUCUCACAGAGUGUGAAGUCUUCCUGACCUGCAUCUGACCAACUGUUGACUUGGUGGCUCAUCCCAAGAGAACAAUUGCAUUGUCACUGUUCUCUUCGUGGACUGGUGAGAACCUUCAAAUCAACCUAAUGAAACACCAACACCAUGUAAUAUUAUUAUAUCCUUAGCACAUGCUGCUGUCGCAGUUUCUACCUUUACAUGGUGUGUACGGCAGAAGUGAAGAGGGCCUCCCCAGAGCAGCCCGCGUGCUCCAGGUACCAUGCUCCAUGGUGCAGAGUGCACGCAAGUCAAAAAGGUUGCGGACACACCAACUCCACUGCUGCUUCAAAUGUGUUUCUGUUCCAAGACCUUUGAGACCACAGCCGAUGGCUCUUCUGGCUUCGUUUCUGUUUCUGCUACCCUAGUUUAAGAAUGAUUAACAUAGUACUGUAUGUUCAUGACUUGUUUCAUGCUAAUAUUUUUUGCAUUGUUCUAUGGUUUCUGGACUUGUGUUUGUUGCUGCUGCAGACUUUCUCUGAUCUCCUUGUUUCUCACUGAACAUAAUCACCGGAAUACAUGAAGAAGAAGAAGAAGAAGAAGAACGAAAAAAAAUGCAACACCAAAAGGAUCCUAAGUUGUUAACACUUUGCAUCAUAGUCACUUGUACCAAAAGCUGUGAAGCAAGCAAAGAGUGUUUGUGGUUGGUAGUGCUUUGGACUUAUAGCUUUUAUCGGUAAGCUUACUGCCUUUAGAUGGCCUGCUCCUUGUUCUGGUCUCCAUGUCUCUGUCAUCUCUUCCUAGUCUUCUCGGUUGCCUUUCCCAUCAGCAAGUGCAAAUUGUGAGAGUCACAUGGUUGCUGGUGUUUAGUCUUUGUAUGUCUUCCUCGGGGUGGCUUUUCUCAAAAGGGUUGAUGCUAGGCAACCUUUCUUUGUCUGUGAAACUUGUUGACUGAGGAAAGCCGAAGCAUUCAUCAUCUUUAUGCAAAAGUACAUUUCCAUUACUCCUCUUUCUUCAGUGGGUUAUGUCAUGCUUUUAUCCCACAGAACUACUUUCACCUAAACACUUUCUUGUGUUUGUCGUAGACUUAGCUUUAUGGAGCUGCAUCUUUUUACAGAAAAGCUUGUAUGCAUCUGCCCUGUCAUAAUAAUGCCACCGACGCAUCAUGAGCAUGCUUUGCUAACACAUUCCAGAAAGCUGUCUGAGAAGCAGAAUGAAGAGUUUGGUUUUGGUGAUCAGUGAUAAGUUACUCUAAUCCAUCUUUUAGCACAACACUACAGAAGAAGUUGUGGUGUGGAGAAUCUCUCAACUUCAGUUGAGAGGAGAAAACAUCUUCAGAGAUGAUUGUCUUGCUUGUGAGAGAUUAUGAUCAGUACAAAAAUGCUUACAGUCUCCACUUUUUUGGCUGUCAUCCUUGGUUUAGGAAGUCAGCUUUUCCUUUAUGAGAAUAGAGAGAAUGUGGAGUCAAGAAAUUAGCAAAGCCAGUAUCUGAUAUGCUUGUGAGCUGAUGCAAUGCCAUACAAAAGAUCAACUGUAACAAUCCAGCAUUUGAUGCAAUUUCAUCAACAUGGAGGACACCCCAUCGAUGCCCUGUUCUUGUCAGUUUUAAAGAGGAAACACGAGCUCCACCAUCACCCUACGUUGUUUCUUCUAGCAGGAGUAAAGCAAACGGAAAUCACAACAAACAAGAAGAAGUCACCUUCGAUUCUCUGAAGAAGCUUCUUCACCUGCUGCUUGCAUCCGUCACAAUGUAUGUGCACUUUGAGGAUCACCGUCUGCAACAACAACCAGCCAAAGGUAACACUCAGCUGGCUUCUCAUCUUCCCCCUUCCUAUAGCAAUCACGAGAGAGAGAGAGAGAGAGAGAGAGAGAGAGAGAGAGAGAUGGUACCUGGAU